rnacentral:rRNA from 1 species
AUGAACGCUAGCUACAGGCUUAACACAUGCAAGUCGAGGGGCAGCAUGGUCUUAGCUUGCUAAGGCCGAUGGCGACCGGCGCACGGGUGAGUAACACGUAUCCAACCUGCCGUCUACUCUUGGACAGCCUUCUGAAAGGAAGAUUAAUACAAGAUGGCAUCAUGAGUCCGCAUGUUCACAUGAUUAAAGGUAUUCCGGUAGACGAUGGGGAUGCGUUCCAUUAGAUAGUAGGCGGGGUAACGGCCCACCUAGUCUUCGAUGGAUAGGGGUUCUGAGAGGAAGGUCCCCCACAUUGGAACUGAGACACGGUCCAAACUCCUACGGGAGGCAGCAGUGAGGAAUAUUGGUCAAUGGGCGAGAGCCUGAACCAGCCAAGUAGCGUGAAGGAUGACUGCCCUAUGGGUUGUAAACUUCUUUUAUAAAGGAAUAAAGUCGGGUAUGCAUACCCGUUUGCAUGUACUUUAUGAAUAAGGAUCGGCUAACUCCGUGCCAGCAGCCGCGGUAAUACGGAGGAUCCGAGCGUUAUCCGGAUUUAUUGGGUUUAAAGGGAGCGUAGAUGGAUGUUUAAGUCAGUUGUGAAAGUUUGCGGCUCAACCGUAAAAUUGCAGUUGAUACUGGAUAUCUUGAGUGCAGUUGAGGCAGGCGGAAUUCGUGGUGUAGCGGUGAAAUGCUUAGAUAUCACGAAGAACUCCGAUUGCGAAGGCAGCCUGCUAAGCUGCAACUGACAUUGAGGCUCGAAAGUGUGGGUAUCAAACAGGAUUAGAUACCCUGGUAGUCCACACGGUAAACGAUGAAUACUCGCUGUUUGCGAUAUACUGCAAGCGGCCAAGCGAAAGCGUUAAGUAUUCCACCUGGGGAGUACGCCGGCAACGGUGAAACUCAAAGGAAUUGACGGGGGCCCGCACAAGCGGAGGAACAUGUGGUUUAAUUCGAUGAUACGCGAGGAACCUUACCCGGGCUUAAAUUGCAGAUGAAUUACGGUGAAAGCCGUAAGCCGCAAGGCAUCCGUGAAGGUGCUGCAUGGUUGUCGUCAGCUCGUGCCGUGAGGUGUCGGCUUAAGUGCCAUAACGAGCGCAACCCUUGUUGUCAGUUACUAACAGGUUCCGCUGAGGACUCUGACAAGACUGCCAUCGUAAGAUGUGAGGAAGGUGGGGAUGACGUCAAAUCAGCACGGCCCUUACGUCCGGGGCUACACACGUGUUACAAUGGGGGGUACAGAGGGCCGCUACCACGCGAGUGGAUGCCAAUCCCCAAAACCUCUCUCAGUUCGGACUGGAGUCUGCAACCCGACUCCACGAAGCUGGAUUCGCUAGUAAUCGCGCAUCAGCCACGGCGCGGUGAAUACGUUCCCGGGCCUUGUACACACCGCCCGUCAAGCCAUGGGAGCCGGGGGUACCUGAAGUGCGUAACCGCGAGGAGCGCCCUAGGGUAAAACUGGUGACUGGGGCU